CAGCUUCUCUUUGGGGAGUAGCCGGCUUUCGAACGUUGUGUUGAAAGCGCCUGUAUCAACAUACUCGGUAUUACCGUGGUGCAGGCAACCGAAUUGGUAGGCGAGACCAACGGGCAACCCGCGCCGUCAAGGCCGGACGCAUGGGCUGUUCGUUGUAUGUCUUAUCGGCCGGAGU
rnacentral:sRNA from 2 species